UCCCUGAAUAUCUGCAGGGUCACAUUAAACCUGACGUUUCCCAUGGAAGUAUUUACAGAGCAACAUUAAAUUACUCCUUUAAAACGCUGUGUUUAUUCUUAAGUCGUCACAAAGCUCCAAAGGAAUCCAGGCGCUGAUGCUCCGUCAUUAUUGCUGUUGUGAUUUAUAAUUUUUUUUCCCAGAGACGUAUAGAAAACGAAUUCAGAUUGGAAAAAAACCAGAAGAGGAACAGGAAAUGGAAGAGCUGCUAAAGAUGUUUUAUUCCCAGCGGACGCGUCCACCCCCGUCUCCUCCUCGGAUCAGUCGCUGGUAACUCAGCUGCAUGUGAGAGAAUGAACGACUGCUCAUGAGAAUCCGUACGACAGAAACCUCAACACGGGGGAACUCUGAGAGAUGAAGAAUUCAAAUCUUCUCUCCAGGCUCGAUUCUGUGGUCAAGAAAAUGGAAUCCUCUUCGUUAGACAGUGGAUUCACUUCAAGCUUCAGCGCGGUGACUUGAUGUGCAACGUCCGAUAUAGAAGUUCAACUACAGGAGUGGACACCUGGAGAAACAGCUCAAAUCAACCUUUUCCAGGGAAAUGACUCUCGGGAGCAGGAAUAUGGCCACAUCUGUACAGACACAAUGUAAACAACACCCAAAACUAAAUCUGAAACCUAAGCAAGGCCGUGUUCUCUUCAUCACUUCAGGUGCACUUGAAAAUUCCUAGAAUGUGUAAUAAGGCAGAUUCGUCUGGAACCAUCAGCACUGGGACUUUCUUACUGGGAAGCUGUGGUCUCACGCAGCUGAAAUCACUUUGCUCAAAUUUCAGGUUUGUUUUAAGAUAAAAACAAAACAACAACAAUCUG